AAGUCGUAACAAGGUUUGGUGAACCUGCGGAAGGAUCAUUAACAACAUAUCCUAACUAAAACCCCUGUGAACUUUCAAUGUCCCGGUCGCCGGCCGUCGGCCUCCAGCGAUCGUUUACUGCGCCACCCUUGCCAAACCAAAAGCACACUGACAGAACGUUUGAUUCCCGUCAAUGAACACUGACAGAUCACUGAACACUGGUCUUGAGGGUACCAGGUCACUUGCCUUACCUUACCCAACCACGCUAGGUUAUUUCAGAGGUCUCUGAAUCAAAAGCUGUUCACUAUGAUUUACCAGAGAUUGCUGAAGUCCUCGGAUCAAAGGUUCGGUCAGUGAGCUCUGCUCCCGCUGUUACGACAAACCUCUGUUCCCCUCUAGUGAAAGCUAUUGGGUUAUAACUAAACGACUGUUAACAAUGGAUAUCUCGAUUCUC
rnacentral:misc_RNA from 1 species